GCGAGUUCCGCUUCACGGCCGAUGUCCCCGUCUGGCUGGACUAUCGCGGCAAGCGCGUCACCAUGGAGCAGGGUGCCCUGGCCGGGAUCCUGAUCGGGCUCGCGCGGCUCAACUGCUCCCAACUGCGGCUGAAGCGGCUCUGCCACCGCCAGGGGCUGCUGGGGCUCGGCCGGGUGGUGUCGUACGCGGUGACCGAGUGGCUCCGGGACAUUCGGUGUCACCAACUGCCGGGGCUGCUGGGG